rnacentral:rRNA from 1 species
CAAGCCCUGGAAACGGGGUCUAAUACCGGAUAUGACUGUCCAUCGCAUGGUGGAUGGUGUAAAGCUCCGGCGGUGCAGGAUGAGCCCGCGGCCUAUCAGCUUGUUGGUGAGGUAGUGGCUCACCAAGGCGACGACGGGUAGCCGGCCUGAGAGGGCGACCGGCCACACUGGGACUGAGACACGGCCCAGACUCCUACGGGAGGCAGCAGUGGGGAAUAUUGCACAAUGGGCGAAAGCCUGAUGCAGCGACGCCGCGUGAGGGAUGACGGCCUUCGGGUUGUAAACCUCUUUCAGCAGGGAAGAAGCGAAAGUGACGGUACCUGCAGAAGAAGCGCCGGCUAACUACGUGCCAGCAGCCGCGGUAAUACGUAGGGCGCAAGCGUUGUCCGGAAUUAUUGGGCGUAAAGAGCUCGUAGGCGGCUUGUCACGUCGGUUGUGAAAGCCCGGGGCUUAACCCCGGGUCUGCAGUCGAUACGGGCAGGCUAGAGUUCGGUAGGGGAGAUCGGAAUUCCUGGU